UCCCCAUGGCAAUGGACAAAGAGACACCUUGUUGUUGGUAUUGUCCUGAUAUGGGUCAGGGGCAAAGCAAAUGGCAGUCCUUUGUUCAUCCUAGCAUAAUGCCUGGCUUGGUGCCCAAAGCUGUCUUAUACCUAGGACCCAUAA